UACGUAGGGUGCGAGCGUUGUCCGGAAUUAUUGGGCGUAAAGGGCUCGUAGGCGGUCUGUCACGUCGAAAGUGAAAACUCAGGGCUUAACCCUGAGCCUGCUUCCGAUACGGGCAGACUAGAGGUAUGCAGGGGAGAACGGAAUUCCUGGUGUAGCGGUGAAAUGCGCAGAUAUCAGGAGGAACACCGGGGGCGAAGGCGGGUCUCGGGGCCGAGACUGACGCUGAGGAGCGAAAGCGUGGGGAGCGAACAGG
rnacentral:rRNA from 1 species